CCUACGGGUGGCAGCAGUGAGGAAUAUUGGUCAAUGGACGCGAGUCUGAACCAGCCAAGUAGCGUGAAUGAUGACUGCCCUAUGGGUUGUAAACUUCUUUUAUAUGGGGAUAAAACGUUCCACGAGUGGGUUUUUGUAUUUACCAUAUGAAUAAGGAUCGGAUAACUCCGUGCCAGCAGCCGCGGUAAUACGGAGGAUGCGAGCGUUAUCCGGAUUUAUUUGGCUUAAAGGGAGCGUAGGUGGUUUGUUAAGUCAGUUGUGAAAGUUUGGGGCUCAACCGUGAAAUUGCAGUUGAUACUGGCAGGCUUGAGUACAGUAGAGGUGGGCGGAAUUCGAGGUGUAGCGGUGAAAUGCUUAGAGAUCAGGAAGAACUCCGAUGGCGAAGGCAGUUCACUGGAC
rnacentral:rRNA from 1 species